UUAACGGGGAGCUUGUGGAACAGGCUGAGAGGAAGCAGGAGCUUCGACCCAUGAACCUGAUGUGGAUAAUGCCAACGUAGGGAUAUGAAGAUGU
rnacentral:ncRNA from 1 species